GUGUGCACAAAACUGCAGUGACCCUCAAUCAUCCAAGAGAUCCAUGUCACAAAAUGUAAUACCCCAAAGGAGGGCACGGCCCUGCGCCCCACCCCCACCCCCAUCAGUUCACUGCCAUCUUUAGAAGUCACCAUCUACAGCAGGACUUUCAGACCUCAUCAGCAGAGAUGUUUCUUUGUGUAGUGGACAGAAAUAAGUGAAGACACUCACAUCUGGUUAAAGGACUGUGAAGGUGCUCAGGCACAGAUUGGAUACCUAUAUCACAUCUCCUCUCCAGUGCCUAGAGACCAUGAAGAAGAGGGUGAGGAAAUUGCAUCAGCCAGCGACUGGGGAGAACUAGAGGGAAACAGGGUCUUCUGGAUGAGAGAGGACUGUGGUCCUCCCGGAUUCACAGCAGCAUCCGCCUAAGAUCUGCAUGAAGAACAAGCCGGUCAGCAUUCCAGCCCAGAGCAAGAAGAGCUAUCAAUGGCCUCUGUGGGAACAAGAGCGUUCCAGGCGGAUGAUCAUUCAUCAUGGCAGGGAUACAAGGCAGCAAGCAUCAAGCACCGUAGUAGGAGCUGCAAACGGAGCGACCAGAACUCUACUGCACAUACAGGAGCAAAGAGCCUACACUGGCGCCAACUGGGGACCAGAUGUCAAAUACAUG
rnacentral:lncRNA from 1 species